rnacentral:rRNA from 1 species
UACGAAGGGGGCUAGCGUUGUUCGGAAUUACUGGGCGUAAAGCGCACGUAGGCGGCUUGUUAAGUCAGGGGUGAAAUCCUGGAGCUCAACUCCAGAACUGCCUUUGAUACUGGCGAGCUUGAGUUCGGGAGAGGUGAGUGGAACUGCGAGCGUAGAGGUGAAAUUCGUAGAUAUUCGCAAGAACACCAGUGGCGAAGGCGGCUCACUGGCCCGAUACUGACGCUGAGGUGCGCAAGCGUGGGGAGCAAACAGG